AUUGAACGCUGGCGGCAUGCUUUACACAUGCAAGUCGAACGGUAACAGCGUGCUUGCACCGCUGACGAGUGGCGAACGGGUGAGUAAUGCUUCGGAACGUGCCGAGUAGUGGGGGAUAACGCAGCGAAAGUUGUGCUAAUACCGCAUACGUACUGAGGUAGAAAGCGGGGGACCUUCUGGCCUCACGCUAAUCGAGCGGCCGACGUCUGAUUAGCUAGUAGGUGAGGUAAAGGCUCACCUAGGCGACGAUCAGUAGCGGGUCUGAGAGGAUGAUCCGCCACAAUGGGACUGAGACACGGCCCAGACUCCUACGGGAGGCAGCAGUGGGGAAUUUUGGACAAUGGGCGAAAGCCUGAUCCAGCCAUGCCGCUUGUCUGAAGAAGGCCUUCGGGUUGUAAAGGACUUUUGUCAGGGAGGAAAUCCCUAGUGCUAAUAACACUGGGGGAUGACAGUACCUGAAGAAUAAGCACCGGCUAACUACGUGCCAGCAGCCGCCGUAA
rnacentral:rRNA from 1 species